UGCUAGUUGUGCGGGUUUAGACCCGCAGCGGAGAGCUCAGUAACACGUGGCCAAACUACCCUGUGGAUGGGAACAAUCUCGGGAAACUGAGGCUAAUUCCCAAUAACGCUCCGCCCCUGGAACGGGCGAAGCUGGAAACGCUACGGCGCCACAGGAUGUGGCUGCGGUCGAUUAGGUAGACGGUGGGGUAACGGCCCACCGUGCCAAUAAUCGGUACGGGUUGUGAGAGCAAGAGCCCGGAGACGGAAUCUGAGACAAGAUUCCGGGCCCUACGGGGCGCAGCAGGCGCGAAACCUUUACACUGUACGCAAGUGCGAUAAGGGGACUCCGAGUGUGAAGGCAUAGAGCCUUCACUUUUGUACACCGUAAGGUGGUGUACGAAUAAGGGCUGGGCAAGACCGGUGCCAGCCGCCGCGGUAAUACCGGCAGCCCGAGUGAUGGCCGAUAUUAUUGGGCCUAAAGCGUCCGUAGCUGGCCGGACAAGUCCGUUGGGAAAUCUGUUCGCUUAACGAGCAGGCGUCCAGCGGAAACUGUUCGGCUUGGGACCGGAAGACCUGAGGGGUACGUCCGGGGUAGGAGUGAAAUCCUGUAAUCCUGGACGGACCACCGGUGGCGAAAGCGCCUCAGGAGGACGGAUCCGACAGUGAGGGACGAAAGCUAGGGUCUCGAACCGGAUUAGAUACCCGGGUAGUCCUAGCUGUAAACGAUG
rnacentral:rRNA from 1 species